UACGUAGGGUGCGAGCGUUGUCCGGAAUUAUUGGGCGUAAAGAGCUCGUAGGCGGUUUGUCGCGUCGGCUGUGAAAACUCGGGGCUCAACCCCGAGCCUGCAGCCGAUACGGGCAGACUAGAGUUCGGCAGGGGAGACUGGAAUUCCUGGUGUAGCGGUGAAAUGCGCAGAUAUCAGGAGGAACACCGGUGGCGAAGGCGGGUCUCUGGGCCGAUACUGACGCUGAGGAGCGAAAGCGUGGGGAGCGAACAG
rnacentral:rRNA from 1 species